rnacentral:rRNA from 1 species
UACAGAGGGUGCGAGCGUUGUUCGGAAUUACUGGGCGUAAAGGGCGCGUAGGCGGUCUGCUAAGUUGGAUGUGAAAACUCUGGGCUUAACCCAGAGCCUGCAUUCAAUACUGACAGGCUAGAGUUCUGGAGGGGAUAGCGGAAUUCCUGGUGUAGCGGUGAAAUGCGUAGAUAUCAGGAGGAACACCGGUGGCGAAGGCGGCUAUCUGGACAGAGUCUGACGCUGAGGCGCGAAAGCUAGGGGAGCAAACAGG